rnacentral:rRNA from 1 species
CAGUCGCCACGGUAAUACGAAGGGGGCUAGCGUUGUUCGGAAUUACUGGGCGUAAAGCGCACGUAGGCGGAUAUUUAAGUCAGGGGUGAAAUCCCAGAGCUCAACUCUGGAACUGCCUUUGAUACUGGGUAUCUUGAGUAUGGAAGAGGUGAGUGGAAUUCCGAGUGUAGAGGUGAAAUUCGUAGAUAUUCGGAGGAACACCAGUGGCGAAGGCGGCUCACUGGUCCAUUACUGACGCUGAGGUGCGAAAGCGUGGGGAGCAAACAGGAUUAGAUACCCGUGUAGUCCCUGUCUCUUAUAA